GUUGUAAAUAUGGAUAUUUUUCUUGCACAAACGCAUUGUGUCACUUCAGAAGGCCUUUAACUCCCCUGAGCCGUGUGGACUUCUUUUAAAAUGGAUGGGUGCAAUUUUUUGGACUUUAAAUUUUGGCCUACCAACCACUCCCAGCAUGAAUUAGCCUGGACAUUAUUUAAUAUAACUCAGAUUAUAUUAGUCUAAAAGAAGAAUGUCAUAUACAGCUAUGAUGGCUUGAGGGUGAAUAAAUCAUGGUGUAAUUUUCAUUUUUGGUUUAACUAUCCCUUAAAGCCCUGUCCCAAAUAUCCCAUUUUGCGGUCUUUCUCCAAAUCCACUUGUGACGCUAUGCCGCUUUGACAGUAUCACUGCGAUAAUGGCAAAAGUGACGUCGUGGCCGCAAGGGCGGCGCUCGUGCAUAAUCGUGGACUUAUCAUGGCCGCCGAAUGCCUGUAUUCGCAAGUACCUAGACCUGCUACUCAUUUGACCAAUUGAGCUUUUAGCAUACCUUACAGUAGUAAACAUAUGGAUGCAAAGUCCGUUUUCACGCGCCAAAUUUAAAUAUGCGGAAGCGGCGUGAGUAAGAUUUGAUUUCUCAAGAUUUUAAGUUAACAACUUAAAAUACAGUCAGUUGCUCACACGUGUCUUUAGAAGUUUUGGAAUAGUUCAUAAAUCACAUGGAUUACUCCUAAGGACGGUGAACUUUCUGCUUCAACGCCUUCCCAAGAAGAAACUGUCUGACAGGGAGUCUGGAACCCCAUCUGUGCGAGAGGAGAGGCGUGAAAUGUUCUGUAAUUACUGAUAAUGAUGUCCUAAGAUCAGAGACUCAACCCAAACAAGGCGAAGUUUGAACCAUGACAUGGUGGAGGGCAGCACUGCCGUCAGACUGAACUCAGUGUCGGGCAGUAAUGGUGGCUCUUAGUCAAACCUGAAGUCCUGGGGUACCACAGCGCUCCCUGUGCAGAAGAAAGAAAUUCUUUGGAACAACAUGAGGGCAAAGAUGCUACGCUUGAGAAUAAAAGCCCUAGACCCUCAUUACCGUACCUCGACAUGAGUGUGUAGGACCACGCUAGCAUAAUGAGCAUCCGUGCAGAAGGCCAAAGGAGCAUUUCUGAGGCCUGUGGAGCAACAAAACAACAGACGCUACAAGCAAACACACAUACCUGCAUACAAGAGCUGCUGCUUCACCUCUCACCCUGAAGGAGAGAGAGAAAACAAGGCUGAACUCAGGAUGAGUGGGUAUCAGCCACCCGGGAUGCAGUCGUCUCCCUGCCGAAGGCUGCAGGCUGUCUGCUCCUCCAGACAGACAGCGGGCAGUGAUUGGGUGAGGAAAAUGGCUGUUUGGUGUCUGAUCCUGGCAUGAUAAGGGGUGGCAGAAGGUUUUCAGGUAUUCAACGGCAAAUGGCGCAAAGAUGGUUUAUGUCUCCGCUCUUUUAUCCAGGAGAAAAAAGAAAAGAAUAGAGGGAGGGAUGGGUAGAUUUUUGGUGUGAGGGAAGAGAGAAGCUUCAGAGCAGUCAGUACUCAGAGCUCUAUUAAAAGCAUCAGCCUCGUUAAAACCAGUCAAAAGACAGGAAAUCAUCCAGUGAAAUGAAGCCUCUCGGCCAAUUAUGGGAUCUGAGUGCUUUUUGUGUCAUCACCAGGCUCUCUCUCUCUCUGUGUCCUAUAGGUGUAGAAGUGGCACCUCACUCUUCAGAUAAUCUUUAAAGGUAUACAAUAUUUCUUUAUAAGACAUGCACAAUGGUAUCCUAUCAUUAAAAGAUUUAGUAAUUAUAUUUGCCUAAUUAGCAGGUUAACUUGUGGGGAGUCUGUAGGAGGAGUAUUCU